AUGUUUUCAAUCUGUCACUGGUUUACAUGGUUUGUACUUAAUUCCUCAGGUGCAAGCAGAAGUGAACAGCAGCUCAGAGAAUGUGGACACACAAAUGGGCAACAAAGGUACACCAAGUCUGAAGCGCAGCGCCUCUAUCAAGGACAGGAUGGUGAAAUAUCAAUUGGCAGUCACCAGACAGGCUUCUUUUACUGUCCCACGCUCUACAGACCUAACCAGGGAGGCUGGUGCUACAGCUGCUGAUGCCGACGACUUCCAAUCUGGAAGGGGCAGAGUAUAACACCGGUACCUAAGCUGUCCCCAGGCCUCAGCAUAUUAAAAAGCCCUUAAAAGCAACCUAACCAAAGGGAAAAUAUACUCAUCCAAUUUAAAGAACUGGAAGAGGCUACAGGAGAAAGCAAGUUAUCCUCUGCUCUAUCCACUGUCCGCUCAACCAUCAGUCCUCCUAAGAGGAAAUAGCAAAAGCAUUCUCAUAAAGUCAUAGUUUGCAGGGCUCCACCAGCCUUGCCUGCCGCUACGUAAGUAGCUGCCCACCAGCCGCAGUGAACUGUAGUUUGACAUGACUUAGAGGGCAAAUCCCACACCAGGGGAGAGAUUGCUUACAAGCAACUCUUCUACCAAGGGCAUCUUCUCAUACCCAUGCUCACAAGUCCCCUCACAUUAGAAUAAUUUGAACCAUCAAAGGUUACUAUGGAAGCUGAGGUAUUAUUUCCCCACAAUCUCGACUCUUCCUUGUGGAGAUUGGAGAGAAAUGCUCACUAGAGGGGAUCAUUUAUGACCCACCAGGAAUUGUUCAUUAAGUCUCACUAGAGUGAUUUCCUGUUUUUCUACCUACCAGUCUUGACUAGUCUAGCUGUGCACUAGAUACAUCCACCACAACUCCAAUGGCAUGGCGAUGCCAACUUUCUGAAACUCAUUUCCUGAUUCAUACAUAUACACACACACACACACGCACGCACACGCACACACACACACACACACACACACACACACACACAAAGUGACUUCCUGAAAACAAAAGAAGAUUAAGGCAUUUUUUGUGGGAACCCCUUUAUACUUUGAUGGUGCACAAGAUUCAUCAUAUGGC
ensembl:lncRNA